rnacentral:rRNA from 1 species
UUCGCCCUUCGGUUGAUCCUGCCGGACCCCACUGCUAUCGAGGUGGGACUAAGCCAUGCUAGUCGAACGCACAGAACUAUGUCUGUGAGUGGCAUACUGCUCAGUAACACGUAGUUAACCUACCCUUCGGACGUGGACAACCCCGAGAAAUUGGGGCUAAUCCGCGAUAGAUGUGAUGUCCUGGAAUGGUAUUACGUCUAAAGGUAUCUCAUACAUGUUUGAUAUACGCCUAAGGAUGGGACUGCGGCUGAUCAGGCAGUUGGUGAGGUAAUGGCUCACCAAACCAUUGACCAGUACGGGCCAUGAGAGUGGUAGCCCGGAGAUGGACACUGAGACAAGGGUCCGGGCCCUACGGGGCGCAGCAGGCGCGAAACCUCCUCAAUGCACUAACGUGCGAAGGGGUUACCUCGAGUGCUAUCUGAUGAAGGUGGCUUUUCCUUGGUCUAAAAAGCCUAGGGAAUAAGAGGGGGGCAAGACUGGUGUCAGCCGCCGCGGUAACACCAGCCCCUCGAGUGGUGGGGAUGAUUAUUUGGCCUAAAGCGUCCGUAGCCUGCCGGAUAAGUUUCCCGUUAAAUCCAACGUCUCAAGCGUUGGUCUGCGGGAAAUACUGUCUGGCUAGAGAGUGGGAAAGGUUAGCGGUAUUCUGGGGGUAGGGGCGAAAUCCUUUGA